CUGAACUCCAGAUCAGACUCAACUUCAGCUCUCUCAUGUACCCAAACUCAAGACCAUUACAGGAUUUCCAAAGGAGACAAUCUCCAGAUAAGGCUCUUUGAUUUGCACAAGCUGAAGCACAGCACAGGACAAGAUGACAAGGCACCAGAUCUGGUCAGGGCUUCACAAGGAAUCAAGUAGAACGUUAAAGAGCAUGAGAUCAGCGGCUCCCUUCUUGCUCCUUUUCAUUCUGGCUCUCAGUGAUCAAGCACAUUGUCAGAGCUUUACUGAAUUUAAGAGGAAACACAUCCUCCCAAUUCAGUUUGAUACCAAGAAUGUACAUGCUUGGAGGAAGCAUCUAUUGCACAAUAAACUCUGUGAAAGAACUGAAACACAAUCGUUCAUCAAGAGCCGUGUGGAAAAUAUCAAACAAAUCUGUACUGGUAUAGUAAGUAAUUAUACCGAAAGUACAGAUUUCUUUGAAGUGUACGUUGUUAAAAGCGCUAAGGGAAUAAAACCAAAGUGUAUCAUUGAACACUGUACUUCAGGCAAAUAUAUUGUUAUUGUUAAAUGUGAGGGGAAUCUACCUGUGCAUUAUGAUGGUCAACACAUUGAUAAGAACACAAGUCCUCAGCCUUGCUUUUAAAGAGCAUGAUCACAGUCUGAGUGAGGAUCUGAAGGAGGAGGCUUUAAAAUGUUGUUUUUAACCAUUUAUUAAAAAUGUUGCUACGCCACAUGCUUAAAUUGGAUAUAAAUCCAAAAGCAUCUUAAUAAAGCUUGUUUUGGAUAGCAGUUUUGUAAAAUGUACACAUCAAAUGUACACCCUGAAUCCAAUGUAAAUCACUUUGAACAAAAGCAUCUGCCAAAAGCAUACAUGUAUGGUUACUGUUAUUUUGUGAAAUUAUAUUGAUUAUCUUCAGUGUAUGACAUACUGUAAAAUGC